GAUGAACGCUGGCGGCGUGCCUAAUACAUGCAAGUCGAGCGAACAGACGAGGAGCUUGCUCCUCUGACGUUAGCGGCGGACGGGUGAGUAACACGUGGAUAACCUACCUAUAAGACUGGGAUAACUUCGGGAAACCGGAGCUAAUACCGGAUAACAUGUUGAACCGCAUGGUUCAACAGUGAAAGACGGUUUUGCUGUCACUUAUAGAUGGCUCCGCGCCGCAUUAGCUAGUUGGUAAGGUAACGGCUUACCAAGGCAACGAUGCGUAGCCGACCUGAGAGGGUGAUCAGCCACACUGGAACUGAGACACGGUCCAGACUCCUACGGGAGGCAGCAGUAGGGAAUCUUCCGCAAUGGGCGAAAGCCUGACGGAGCCACGCCGCGUGAGUGAAGAAGGUCUUCGGAUCGUAAAACUCUUUUAUUAGGGAAGAACAAAUGUGUAAGUAACUAUGCCCGUCUUGACGGUACCUAAUCAGAAAGCCACGGCUAACUUCGUG
rnacentral:rRNA from 1 species